UUUCAGUGACUUGUUAUCUCAGUAGCAUAAUCUCCAAACUUACUGGAGGGAUGCCAGGCCAUGUCAAGGGAUGAACUCCAACCUCAACUUUUCCAAGAAACAGCAAAUGGGCAAAUGAUUCAAACUUUUUUUUUUUUUUUUUUUUUUAGGAAAGGUGGUGAGAGAGGACGAGGGACAGAGAGAAUCUGCUGAAUGUGGAGCCCAAUAUUUGGCUCUGUCUCACAACCCUGAGAUCAUGAUCUGAGCCGAAAUCAAGAGCUUAACCAACUGAGCUGCCCAGAUGCCCCAUGACUCAAACUCUUAAUCUGGCUAUCAGUUUCUUGAUCUGUAAAAUGAAAAAAGAAAUCUGCUUCCUUUUCUUUGUGUUUCUCUGACUUCCACUAUGUUAUAACCUUACAUGUUUCUCCACUUAAUUCCCGGACUCUCUUGGUUUAUCACAUGAUAUCAAAGUUAGUGCUCUGUUUAGAAAAGAAAAAUGACUAUUUUCCCCUACGUUCUGUCUAUUUGACAAAUGCAAGUAAUCACAGACGUACAUUUAUCUUCCUUCCUCUGGGAAUUUAGAGCAAUUUAGAGUAGCAGUAUUAGAUGUAUUGCUGAAACAUCAUAUAAGAUUGGAUAUUUAUAAUUAGAAUAGUUACAGAAAGCUUAUGAGUGUUUUAAGGGACUAUGGAAUAUUAAGAAUAAAGUUGAUAUGGAGGAAGGGAGAUACAGAAACCUAUCUUAGAAAAUGUUUUUCAAAGCAGUGUGAAGAAGAGGCAAGAACGACCUCUGGACUGGCCAAAGCCCACAUGCCGCUGCAUCUUGGAGUCCAGCACUAAAGUCCCGCCUGCCACUAUCGCCACCAUGCCCAAAAGAAAGGCUGAAGGGGAUGCUAAAGGAGAUAAAGCCACAGAGAAGAUCUGCAAGGUUAUCUGCUAAGCCUGCUCCUCCAAAGCCAGAGCCCAAGCCUAAAAAGGCCCCUGCAAAGGGAGAGAAGGUACCCAAAGGGAAAAAGGGGAAGCUGAUGCUGGCAAGGAUGGAAAUAACCCUGCAGAAAAUGGAGAUGCCAAAACAGAUCAGGCACAGAAAGCUGAAGGUGCUGGAGAUGCCAAGUGAAAUGUGUGUAUUUUUGAUAACUGUGUACUUCUGGUGACUGUGCAGUUUGAAAUACUAUUUUUAUCAAGUUUUAUAAAAAUGCAGAAUUUUGUUUUACUUUUCUUUUAAAGCUAUGUUGGAACACUUCAUUGUUGUUUUGGGAGAAGGGUAUAUAUGUCACUAAUAGAAUAUCUCCGGAGCUAGAUUGGUAACAAGGGGAAAAACACCCUUCCCUUCUAGUUUUGAGAAACCUCCUCUUGGCUCCCCGGGCGGGGUGGGGUGGGGUGGUAUUCCUUGAUGUUGACACACAUGAGUCACCUUGAUGGUGUGAAAAAACUAAAAUUCAUUUUUUAAAUGUCCUCUUCUCUCUCUCUGCCUUCAACAUAGACUUAACUCCCUUAAACCCAGAGACCUGACCCUAAGAAAUGGUUCCCAGUAUGUCAGGCAAUCUGGACUUUAGAGUGUCACCACUGAGAUGACAUCCCACAAGAGUUCCUUUUUUUUUAGCUUGUGUAUCUUCAGGUUGAUAGUUCUGCCAUUUUCAUUUCAUUUCCUGAAAGUCAGGGUCUGCUUGUGAAAAGUUGUUAAACAACAUGCUAAAUGUGAACUGUCAACCCUCACUCUAAACUUUCCCUGUUCAGAGCAUCACAUGAAGACUUCACUGGGUUUUAUAGUGGCUUUCUGAUUUUGGUAGCCUAUUGAAGAAGGGAGUUUGAAAGUUGUUGUAUACUGUUAACGAUCGUCUGCCCAUGUCCUGCCUGAAAUACCAUGACUGUUUAUGAAAAGUAUCUCUAAUAAAGCUGGAUACAGUUUGGCUUAAAAGAAAUUU
rnacentral:lncRNA from 12 species